rnacentral:miRNA from 1 species
ACCAUCGGCCGUUGACUGUACC